rnacentral:rRNA from 1 species
AUACGUAGGUGGCAAGCGUUGUCCGGAAUUAUUGGGCGUAAAGCGCGCGCAGGCGGUCCUUUAAGUCUGAUGUGAAAGCCCACGGCUCAACCGGGGAGGGUCAUUGGAAACUGGGGGACUUGAGUGCAGAAGAGGAAAGUGGAAUUCCAAGUGUAGCGGUGAAAUGCGUAGAGAUUUGGAGGAACACCAGUGGCGAAGGCGGCUUUCUGGGAUGAAACUGACGCUGAGGCGCGAAAGGGUGGGGAGCAAACAGGAUUAGAGACCCUGGUAGUCCACGCCGUAAACGGUGAGUGCUAAGUGUUAGGGGGUUUCCGCCCCUUAGUGCUGCAGCUAACGCAUUAAGCUCUCCGCCUGGGGAGUACGGUCGCAAGACUGAAACUCAAAUGAAUUGACGGGG